rnacentral:rRNA from 1 species
UACGGGGGGGGCAAGCGUUGUUCGGAAUUACUGGGCGUAAAGGGCUCGUAGGCGGCCAACUCAAGUCGGGACGUGAAAUCCCUCAGCUUAACCGGGGAACUGCUUCGAUACUGGAUGGCUUGAGUGUGGGAGAGGGAUGCGGAAUUCCAGGUGUAGCGGUGAAAUGCGUAGAUAUCUGGAGGAACACCGGUGGCGAAGGCGGCAUCCUGGACUACUACUGACGCUGAGGAGCGAAAGCCAGGGGAGCAAACGGG